rnacentral:rRNA from 1 species
GUCCUGCUCAGGAUGAACGCUAGCUACAGGCUUAACACAUGCAAGUCGAGCGGUAGCACAGAGAGCUUGCUCUCGGGUGACGAGCGGCGGACGGGUGAGUAAUGUCUGGGAAACUGCCUGAUGGAGGGGGAUAACUACUGGAAACGGUAGCUAAUACCGCAUAAUGUCGCAAGACCAAAGUGGGGGACCUUCGGGCCUCAUGCCAUCAGAUGUGCCCAGAUGGGAUUAG